rnacentral:lncRNA from 1 species
AUCGCUGAUAGUUGGUGCCUCAAUGGGCUUUACCACAGGCAGAUCAAUAGUUUUUGCCCCAAUGGGCUCUAGAUACCACAAUGGACAGAUCUAUAGUUUUUGUCUCAAUGGGCUCUACCACAAUGGGCAGAUCUAUAGUUUUUGCCUUGAAUGGGCUCGACCACAAUGGGCAGAUCAAUGAUAUUUUUUGCCUCAAUUGACUCUACUACAAUGGGUAUAGAAUGCUCUUAUUUUGUCCUACCACCAUGGGCAGACUGUUUAUAGUAUCAUUAUUUUGUGUAUCAAAAGGAUUCACAGGUGUUGUAGUUGUUUUUGCAUGCACU